rnacentral:tRNA from 1 species
UCCCUGGUGGCUAAGAAGGUAAAGAAUCUACCUGUAAUGUGGGAGACCCAGGCUCGAUCCCUGGGUAGGGAC